rnacentral:lncRNA from 1 species
UUCUCUUUUUAAACUAUAUUGCAACCAAAAGAUGUUUUUAUGAAGGGGCUUGAAUAAUUAGGGAAACUGAAGUAUUAAUUUUAAAAAUUUUCUGAGAAAAUAUGAAGAAGAAAAAAAAACAGUAAAUAUAUGAUGGGAUCCUUUUCCCAGUAAGUAGAAAAUCUUUGGCGUUAUUAUUGCCUCAUUAUAACCAUCCCUCUACUCUCUAUCUCCUCUCUAUCUCCAU